AAUCUAAAACCUUAAGACAAGGUAGGAGAUAAUUUGGGGAUAAUUUGCAACCUUUUUAUAUAUUUGGGAUAGUUUUGUGUUCUUCCCUUCGUCACAAUGGUAGGGGAAUUAUCAAUGUUGAAUGAAAUAUCACACUAAGUCUUUCUCAAUUCUCAAGGAUAUAUCAAAUUUAUGGAUAGUACGUAGUUUGUGGUCACGAGGUUCAUCAAUUUGAGGAAGCAAUCCAGUAAUAUCAAUUUUUUGGUGCGAGUAGUUCAGAGAUUACUACAGAAGAAUUUCAAAGGAACUCUAACAAGUCUGUCACAAGUAAUGGGAGAAGAAGAAACUUUGCAUGAUUUUUUUGGUUCAAAUAACAAAGAUUAUUUGAAUUGCUUAGAGAUGAAAGUGAAGAUUUGUAUGAAGGAUCCAAGCACUUAAAGUUGGAAUUUUUAUUAAAGCUUUAUCACAUAAAGUGCUUGUCUAGGUUAAGUGAUAAAGAAAUGACUAUGGUGCUAGAUCUACUUAGGGUGCAUUUAAAUUUGUAAAGAUCUCUAUAUCUUUUUAUGAGACUAAGAAAACCAUCCACAAGUUUUGUCUUGAUUAUAUCAAGAUAGAUUCUUGCCUAAAUGAUUGUAUUUUGUACUGGGAAGAUGAUGUUAAUACAAAAUCAUGCUAGCAUUGUCACACUUAUAGAUGGAAACCCUAGACGGAUAGCAAUCUUGGUCAUGCUCCUAGUACAACUAAGAAACAAAAGAAGAAGCAAAAGAAGUCUGCCAAAGUUUUGCACAACUUUCCAUUAAAACCAAGAUUACAAAGAUUAUUUAUGCUCUCUAAAAUUGCAAAGCAUAUGAGAUGGCAUGUAGAGGAUGAUAACAAAGAUAGGAUCUUAAGGCACCCUCAAGAUGGUGAAGCAUAGAAAAAUCUUGAUACAAAUUAUCCUGAAUUUGCUUCUGAUCCUUGAAAUGUUUGAUUAGGUCUAGCUAGUAAUGGUUUCAAUCCCUUUGAAGCAAUGAGUACUAACUAUGGCAUUUGGCCAGUGGUUUUGUUCCCAUACAAUCUUCCUCCUUGGUUGUGUAUGAAGCAACUAAAUUUUCUCCUUUCAAUGAUUAUUCCAUGUCCACGUACAAUAGGGAAUAACAUAGAUAUAUAUCUACAACCACAUAUUAAGGAGUUGAAUAAGUUGUGGAGUAAAGGUGUGGAUAAUUUUAAUUCAUUAAAAAAUGAAAUGUUCAAAAUGCAAAUAGCUUAUAUGUGGAUAGUUGGCAAUUUUCCUGGACUUGAUAUCUUAUCUUGUUGGAAUACGCAUACUGGUCUUGCAUGUCCUUCUUGUAAUUUUGAUGGAGAACUUUGUCGACUUUGUCAUAUUAGAAAGUGGUGUUUUAUUGGCCACCAUCGAUUCUUGAUAAA